CCUACGGGUGGCAGCAGUGGGGAAUAUUGCACAAUGGGGGAAACCCUGAUGCAGCGACGCCGCGUGAGUGAAGAAGUAAUUCGUAUUGUAAAGCUCUAUCAGCAGGGAAGAAAAUGACGGUACCUGCAUACUAAGCCCCGGCUAACUACGUGCCAGCAGCCGGGGUAAUACGUAGGGGGCAAGCGCUAUCCGGAUUUACUGGGUGUAAAGGGAGCGUAGACGGCAGGGCAAGUCUGGAGUGAAAGGCGUGGGCUCAACCCGCAGACUGCGCUGGAAACUGUACGGCUGGAGUGCAGGAGAGGUGAGUGGAAUUCCUAGUGUAGCGGUGAAAUGCGUAGAUAUUAGGAGGAACAUCAGUGGCGAAGGCGACUAUCUGGCACAUAACUGACGCUGAGGAGCGAAAGCGUGGGGAGCAAACAGGAUUAGAUACCCCUGUAGUC
rnacentral:rRNA from 1 species